rnacentral:rRNA from 1 species
UGGGGAAUAUUGCACAAUGGAGGGAACUCUGAUGCAGCGACGCCGCGUGAACGAAGAAGGCUUUCGCUUCGUAAAGUUCUUUUAUAUGGGAAGAUAAUGACGGUACCAUAAGAAAAAGCCCCGGCUAUCUACGUGCCAGCAGCCGCGGUAAUACGCAGGGGGCUAGCGUGGUUCGGAAUCACUGGGCGUAAAGGGUUCGCAGGCGGAACUGCAAGUCAGGUGUAAAAGGCAGUAGCUUAACUACUGUAAGCAUUUGAAACUGCAUAUCUUAAGAUGAGUAGCGGUAAGUGGAAUUUUUAGUGUAGCGGUGAAAUGCGUAGAUAUUAAAGAGGAUUACAGUGGGGAAGGCGACAUACUGGGCUCAUUCUGACGCUGAGGAACGAAAGCGUGGGUAGCAAACAGG